rfam:Acanthisitta chloris contig58625, whole genome shotgun sequence.
GUCUCUGUGGCGCAAUCGGCCAGCGCGUUCGGCUGUUAACCGAAAGGUUGGUGGUUCGAGCCCACCCAGGGACG